rnacentral:rRNA from 1 species
AAUGAACGCUGGCGGCGUGCUUAACACAUGCAAGUCGAACGGUGAACGAGGGAGCUUGCUCCCUCCGGAUCAGUGGCGAACGGGUGAGUAACACGUGAGCAAUCUGCCCUGGACUCUGGGAUAAGCGUUGGAAACGACGUCUAAUACCGGAUACGAGGCGUGGGGGCAUCCCCAACGCCUGGAAAGAACUUCGGUCCAGGAUGAGCUCGCGGCCUAUCAGGUAGUUGGUGAGGUAACGGCUCACCAAGCCGACGACGGGUAGCCGGCCUGGGAGGGUGACCGGCCACACUGGGACUGAGAGACGGCCCAGACUCCUACGGGAGGCAGCAGUGGGGAAUAUUGCACAAUGGGCGCAAGCCUGAUGCAGCAACGCCGCGUGAGGGACGACGGCCUUCGGGUUGUAAACCUCUUUUAGCAGGGAAGAAGCGAAAGUGACGGUACCUGCAGAAAAAGCACCGGCUAACUACGUGCCAGCCGCCGCAGUAACAC